rnacentral:rRNA from 1 species
GUAGUUGGCAAGCGUUGUCCGGGAAUUAUUGGGGGCGUAAAGCGCGCGCAGGCGGUUCUUUAAGUCUGAUGUGAAAGCCCACGGGCUCAACCGUGGAGGGUCAUUGGAAACUGGAGAACUUGAGUACAGAAGAGGAAAGCGGAAUUCCACGUGUGGCGGUGAAAUGCGUAGAGAUGUGGAGGAACACCAGUGGCGAAGGCGGCUUUCUGGUCUGUAACUGACGCUGAGGCGCGAAAGCGUGGGGAGCAAACAGGAUUAGAUACCCUGGUAGUCCACGCCGUAAACGAUGAGUGCUAAGUGUUAGGGGGUUUCCGCCCCUUAGUGCUGCAGCUAACGCAUUAAGCACUCCGCCUGUGGAGUACGGCCGCAAAGGCUG